rnacentral:tRNA from 1 species
GGGGAGAUAGCUCAGUGAUAAAGCACCUGCCUAGCAUGCAUGAGGCCCUGGGUUCAAUCCCCUUCAUCACCA